UCGAGCGGUAGANAGAAGCUUGCUUCUCUUGAGAGCGGCGGACGGGUGAGUAAUGCCUAGGAAUCUGCCUGGUAGUGGGGGAUAACGUCCGGAAACGGACGCUAAUACCGCAUACGUCCUACGGGAGAAAGCAGGGGACCUUCGGGCCUUGCGCUAUCAGAUGAGCCUAGGUCGGAUUAGCUAGUUGGUGAGGUAAUGGCUCACCAAGGCGACGAUCCGUAACUGGUCUGAGAGGAUGAUCAGUCACACUGGAACUGAGACACGGUCCAGACUCCUACGGGAGGCAGCAGUGGGGAAUAUUGGACAAUGGGCGAAAGCCUGAUCCAGCCAUGCCGCGUGUGUGAAGAAGGUCUUCGGAUUGUAAAGCACUUUAAGUUGGGAGGAAGGGUACUUACCUAAUACGUGAGUAUUUUGACGUUACCGACAGAAUAAGCACCGGCUAACUCUGUGCCAGCAGCCGCGGUAAUACAGAGGGUGCAAGCGUUAAUCGGAAUUACUGGGCGUAAAGCGCGCGUAGGUGGUUCGUUAAGUUGGAUGUGAAAUCCCCGGGCUCAACCUGGGAACUGCAUCCAAAACUGGCGAGCUAGAGUAUGGUAGAGGGUGGUGGAAUUUCCUGUGUAGCGGUGAAAUGCGUAGAA
rnacentral:rRNA from 1 species